AGAGUCAAUGGAGAAAAUGCCCGGGUACAUGGGCAUUUAGCAGACCAGGAAAGGACUGAAAAGCAGAUCUGAACAGCAGAAAGUGUGGAGAAGAGAUUGGAGUGAGGCAAUACAUGGGAGCAAGACUGCAGGCUGGACGAUGGAUCAGGAAUUCAUUGCAAUAAUCAGGCCCAGGGAUAACCAGGACCUACUGACAGCUACUACAUGAGUGAGCUCGGAAGUCGGUCCUAACUCAGCUGUAGCCUUCUGGAGACUGCAGUCCCUCUGGACAGCUUAACUGCAACUUCAUGAGAGACCUUGAACCUAAACUACCAGGGACCCAAAUUUCUGACCCACAGAAACUAUGAGACAAAGUUUUUUGCUAUAAGUUGGUAAAUUUGUUAUUUACCAAUUUUUGGGGGUAAUUUGUUAUACAUACAUGGAUAACUAAUUCAUCAGAUUAAUGAAAGUGAAGGGAAGGUGGUGAUUGGUUUCCAGGACCCAGCACAGUUGGAUAACUUUCUCCAGCAGCCCUAGACAACUCCAGACAAUAUGCUUGUAGACUUUAUAUGCCAUUGAUAUUAUGCGAUGUCCAAUAAUAUCUUUUUUUAAUAGUAUUUUUUAUUUUUUUCUUUCUAAUUUUGCUGUUUUAAGGCUGUGGUUCCCAGGUUAGGGGUUGAAUCAGAGCUGUAGCUGCCAGCCUAAGCCAUAGCCACAGAAACACAGGAUCCAAGCCGCGUCUGCGACCUAUACCACAGCUCACGGCAACGCCGGAUCCUUAACCCACUGAGUGAGGCCAGGGACUGAACCCACAUCCUCAUGGACCCUAGUAGGGUUCGUUAACCACUGAGCCACGAAGGGAACUCCUUCGAUAGUAUCUUUUGAUAAAAUAAUUUUGCCAAAAUCUUAUUUAACUUUCUUAAUGAGCUAUUAACCAUUAACACUAUGUCUGACUUUAAAAGCUUUUUGACAAGAAUGUGUCCUGUCACUGUUUUGACUUUAAAAAGCAUAGCUUGAAGUUCCCAUCAUGGCACGCAGAAAUGAAUCUGACUAGGAACCAUAAGGUUGUGAGUUUGAUCCCUGGCCUAUGCUCAGUGGGUUAAGGAUCCAGCGUUACCGUGAGCAAUGGUGUAGUUCGCAGAGGCGGCUCAGAUCUGGCGUUGCUGUGGCUGUGCUGUAGGCUGGCAGUUGUAGCUCCGAUUAGACCCCUAGUCUGGGAACCUCCAUGUGCCACUAGUGUGGCCCUAAAAAGCAAAAAAAAAAAAAAAAAAUUUAAAUAAGUAAAAAGCAUAACUUUAUUUUUUUAUUUUUAUUUUAUUUUUUAAGGGCUGCACAUGUGGCAUAUGGAAGUUCUCAGGCUAGGGGUCAAAUAGGAGCUGCCGCUGCAGGCCUAUGCCACAGCCACAGCCACACCAGAUCCAAGCCUUACCUGUGGCCUAAACCACAGCUCAUGGCAAUGCUGGAUCCUUAACCCACAGAGCGAGGCCUGGGCUCGAACCCGAAACAUCAUGGUUACUAGUUGGAUUAGUUUCCACUUGUUCCCAUUGGUUCUGGGAACUCCAGAUAGCUUUAUAGUUUUGAUCACUUCUCUUACUUUUAGGAAGAAAUUUUAUCAAAGUUAUAUCAGUAAACAUUAUUUUGUGGGAUCUUCUUCCUCCAGAAAAAAUAUUUUUUGUGGUUACUAGAUUGGCCACCGAACUUUUUUCAAAAAUGGCACUAAAAUUUCAUUUGUUUGACUAAGUUUCAUAAUCUAUGUAAUGAAAUAGAUGUAAUGUACUGGGGGCCAGGGGCAAAUGGACUACCAUUUUAAUAAAAACAUACAUCUUAGAGCCUCA
rnacentral:lncRNA from 1 species